UACAGAGGGUGCGAGCGUUAAUCGGAAUUACUGGGCGUAAAGCGCGCGUAGGCGGCUUUGCAAGCCGGAUGUGAAAUCCCCGGGCUUAACCUGGGAACUGCAUUCGGGACUGCAUUGCUAGAGUAUGGGAGAGGGAAGUGGAAUUUCAGGUGUAGCGGUGAAAUGCGUAGAUAUCUGAAGGAACAUCAGUGGCGAAAGCGACCUCCUGGACCAAUACUGACGCUCAUGUGCGAAAGCGUGGGGAGCAAACAGG
rnacentral:rRNA from 1 species